GGGGCCGUAGUCUAGCCAGGGUUAUGACGACGGGCUCCAGACCCGUAGGUCGUCGGUUCAAAUCCGGCCGGCCCCACCA
rnacentral:tRNA from 1 species